rnacentral:rRNA from 1 species
ACGAACGCUGGCGGCAGGCUUAACACAUGCAAGUCGAGCGCCCCGCAAGGGGAGCGGCAGACGGGUGAGUAACGCGUGGGAAUCUACCGUGCCCUAAGGAAUAGCUCCGGGAAACUGGAAUUAAUACCUUAUACGCCCCCCUUUAAAAUUCCAGGACGAAUAAAAUGCCUUGGCAUUUUAUGGGGGGGAAAGAUUUAUCGGGGUAUGAUGAGCCCGCGUUGGAUUAGCUAGUUGGUGGGGUAAAGGCCUACCAAGGCGACGAUCCAUAGCUGGUCUGAGAGGAUGAUCAGCCACAUUGGGACUGAGACACGGCCCAAACUCCUACGGGAGGCAGCAGUGGGGAAUAUUGGACAAUGGGCGCAAGCCUGAUCCAGCCAUGCCGCGUGAGUGAUGAAGGCCCUAGGGUUGUAAAGCUCUUUCACCGGUGAAGAUAAUGACGGUAACCGGAGAAGAAGCCCCGGCUAACUUCGU